rnacentral:rRNA from 1 species
GCUAAGCCCUCCAGCGCCGAUGGUACUGCACUCGGGAGGGUGUGGGAGAGUAGGACACCGCCGGAC